GGAAUAUUGCACAAUGGGGGGAACCCUGAUGCAGCGACGCCGCGUGAGCGAAGUAGUAUUUCGGUAUGUAAAGCUCUAUCAGCAGGGAAGAAAUUGACGGUACCUGAGUAAGAAGCUACGGCUAAAUACGUGCCAGCAGCCGCGGUAAUACGUAUGGAACAAGCGUUAUCCGGAUUUACUGGGUGUAAAGGGAGCGUAGGCGGCCUGCCAAGUCUGAUGUGAAAUACCGGGGCUCAACCCCGGGGCUGCAUUGGAAACUGGCAGGCUGGAGUGUCGGAGAGGCAGGCGGAAUUCCUAGUGUAGCGGUGAAAUGCGUAGAUAUUAGGAGGAACACCAGUGGCGAAGGCAGCCUGCUGGACGAUGACUGACGCUGAGGCUCGAAAGCGUGGGGAGCA
rnacentral:rRNA from 1 species